UACGUAGGUGGCGAGCGUUGUCCGGAUUUACUGGACGUAAAGGGAGCGUAGGCGGACUUUUAAGUGAGAUGUGAAAUACCCGGGCUUAACUUGGGUGCUGCAUUUCAAACUGGAAGUCUAGAGUGCAGGAGAGGAGAAUGGAAUUCCUAGUGUAGCGGUGAAAUGCGUAGAGAUUAGGAAGAACACCAGUGGCGAAGGCGAUUCUCUGGACUGUAACUGACGCUGAGGCUCGAAAGCGUGGGGAGCAAACAGGAUUAGAUACCCCGGUAGU
rnacentral:rRNA from 1 species